UCACCUGCGCGGACGCCGGAGGCGCCGGCCUUCUUGAGCCCCUUCUUCUUGACGAUGAAGCUGGCGCCGAUGAAGAAGCUGGAGGAGAGCGCUAGCACCAGCCCCUUGAUGUUGUCGGCCGACAUCCCCUCCACCCAGCUCCCGCCCCCGGCACCGGCGGCCGCCGAAGUGGACGCCUCAGUCGCCAUACCCCCCGGCGCCCCCAAAUCCCGGAAACCCUUCUACAACCUCCGGGGGGUGCGACGCCGCUAGAUCCCGCCGCGGACGUGGCGCAUGCGGAG
rnacentral:sRNA from 1 species